rnacentral:rRNA from 1 species
AAAAGUGGCGCACGGGUGCGUAACACGUAUGCAACCUACCUUAAUCUGGGGGAUAGCCUCUCGAAAGAGAGAUUAACACCGCAUAACAUCAGCGAAUGGCAUCAUUCAAUGAUCAAAUAUUUAUAGGAUAAAGAUGGGCAUGCGUGACAUUAGCUAGUUGGUGAGGUAACGGCUCACCAAGGCGACGAUGUCUAGGGGAUCUGAGAGGAUGACCCCCCACACUGGUACUGAGACACGGACCAGACUCCUACGGGAGGCAGCAGUAAGGAAUAUUGGUCAAUGGAGGCAACUCUGAACCAGCCAUGCCGCGUGCAGGAAGACGGCCCUACGGGUUGUAAACUGCUUUUAUUCGGGAAUAAACCUCUUUACGUGUAAAGAGUUGAAUGUACCGAAAGAAUAAGGAUCGGCUAACUCCGUGCCAGCAGCCGCGGUAAUACGGAGGAUCCAAGCGUUAUCCGGAUUUAUUGGGUUUAAAGGGUGCGUA